rnacentral:rRNA from 1 species
GAUGAACGCUGGCGGCGUGCCUAAUACAUGCAAGUCGAGCGAACAGACGAGGAGCUUGCUCCUCUGACGUUAGCGGCGGACGGGUGAGUAACACGUGGAUAACCUACCUAUAAGACUGGGAUAACUUCGGGAAACCGGAGCUAAUACCGGAUAAUAUAUUGAACCGCAUGGUUCAAUAGUUAAAGACGGUUUUGCUGUCACUUAUAGAUGGAUCCGCGCCGCAUUAGCUAGUUGGUAAGGUAACGGCUUACCAAGGCAACGAUGCGUAGCCGACCUGAGAGGGUGAUCGGCCACACUGGAACUGAGACACGGUCCAGACUCCUACGGGAGGCAGCAGUAGGGAAUCUUCCGCAAUGGGCGAAAGCCUGACGGAGCACCGCCGCGUGAGUGAUGAAGGUCUUCGGAUCGUAAAACUCUGUUAUUAGGGAAGAACAAAUGUGUAAGUACCUAUGCACGUCUUGACGGUACCUAAACAGAAAGCCACGGCUAACUACGUG